GCUCUUCUCCAUCGCUGAACCCUCUGCCUUGACUAGAAGACCAUAAGAGCACAAAAUGCACACCAUAUUAUACCCGGCCACAGCUAUCUAUCUUGCUACUGGUGUGUUGUUCUCUUCGCUACGACAACGGAAAUUGCUGUCUUUACCUGAGCGUCUUUCCGUGCCACGGCGCGCAGGUGGUUGGCUGGUGCUCCCAGACUGGAGGAAAAGGGAUGGAAAACACAACAGGCAGAAAUGUUUGUCAGUGACUCCUAAACUGCGGAUGUUGAAGAGAUCUUUGAGUCAGAAACCUUUAUAAGUUAGUUAUAUAAGAAAGACCUGACUGGAAAUGUCUUUUUCUUUUUAUGUCAGUCAACUGUAGAUGAAGGGCUUUGUUUUUAUUGACCUGUUUUAUUGACCUGUCUAAUAAAUAGCUCAUGU